CCUACGGGCGGCAGCAGUGAGGAAUAUUGGUCAAUGGACGAGAGUCUGAACCAGCCAAGUAGCGUGAAGGAUGACUGCCCUAUGGGUUGUAAACUUCUUUUAUAUGGGAAUAAAACAGGGUAUGCAUACCCUCUUGUAUGUACCAUAUGAAUAAGGAUCGGCUAACUCCGUGCCAGCAGCCGCGGUAAUACGGAGGAUCCGAGCGUUAUCCGGAUUUAUUGGGUUUAAAGGGAGCGUAGGUGGAUUGUUAAGUCAGCGGUAAAAGCCCGGGGCUCCACCGUAAAAUUGCAAUUGAUACUGGCAGUCUUGUGUACAGUUGCGGUAGGCGGAAUUCGUUGUGUAGCCG
rnacentral:rRNA from 1 species